GAACAUUUCCACAUUUCCUAAUAAAAAUUUAAAAAAAUCUCAUGUGAACUCAGAAGUAAAGCAGGGUUGGGCCUGGUCAGUACUUGGAUGGGAGACCGCCUGGGAAUACCAGGUGCUGUAAGCU
rfam:Danio rerio chromosome 4, GRCz11 reference primary assembly.